rnacentral:rRNA from 1 species
AUUCCAGCUCCAAGAGCGUAUAUUAAAGUUGUUGCAGUUAAAAAGCUCGUAGUUGGAUUUCUGUCAUAAUGCGCUUGGUCCGUUUCCUUACGGCGAUGAGUACCGAUGUGCGUUUGACAUCCUUCUAGAAAACGUUUCUACCAUUUAUUUGGCCGGACUCGGGAUCUAGAUCUUUUACUUUGAAAAAAUUUGAGUGUUUAAAGCAGGCUUUUUGCUAUGAAAACAUUAGCAUGGAAUAAUAAGAUAGGACUUUGGUGGUUUAUUUUGUUGGUUUGCACGCCGAAGUAAUGAUUAAUAGGAGCAGUUGGGGAUGUCCGUAUUCGAUUGUCAGAGGUGAAAUUCUUGGAUUUAUUGAAGACGAACUACUGCGAAAGCAUUCAUCAAGGAUGUGUUCAUUA